UACAUAGGGUGCAAGCGUUGUUCGGAAUUACUGGGCGUAAAGGGCUCGUAGGCGGCCUGCUAAGUCGGACGUGAAAUCCCUGGGCUCAACCCAGGAACUGCGUCCGAUACUGGCAGGCUUGAAUCCGGGAGAGGGAUGCGGAAUUCCAGGCGUAGCGGUGAAAUGCGUAGAUAUCUGGAGGAACACCGGUGGCGAAGGCGGCAUCCUGGACCGGCAUUGACGCUGAGGCGCGAAAGCUAGGGGAGCAAACGGG
rnacentral:rRNA from 1 species